rnacentral:rRNA from 1 species
UACGAAGGGUGCAAGCGUUACUCGGAAUUACUGGGCGUAAAGCGUGCGUAGGUGGUUCGUUAAGUCUGAUGUGAAAGCCCUGGGCUCAACCUGGGAAUGGCAUUGGAUACUGGGCGGGCUAGAGUGCCGGUAGAGGGCAGUGGAAUUCCCGGUGUAGCAGUGAAAUGCGUAGAGAUCGGAGGAACAUCUGUGGCGAAGGCGACUGCCUGGACCAGCACUGACACUGAGCACGAAAGC